UGCAUAUCAAUAAGCGGAGGAAAAGAAAAUAACAAUGAUUCCCCUAGUAACGGCGAGUGAAGAGGGACAAGCUCAAAUUUUAAAUCUGUUAGGUUAUACCUAUCAGAGUUGUAUUUUGAAGAAGCGUUUUCCGCAUCUCGGUUGACCCAAAUCCUUUGGGAUAAGGUAUCAUGGAGGGUGAGAAUCCCGUUCGGUUGACCUUAUGAUGCUCUACGAUACGCUCUCAAAGAGUCGAGUUGUUUGGGAUUGCAGCUCAAAAUGGGAGGUAAAUUUCUCCUAAGGCUAAAUAUUGGCGAGAGACCGAUAGCGAACAAGUACCGUGAGGGAAAGAUGAAAAGAACUUUGAAAAGAGAGUUAAACAGUACGUGAAAUUGUUGAAAGGGAAACGAUUGAAGCCAGUCGUACCGGCGGGUAAUCAGCCUUUCGGGUAUGAUUCUGUGGAGUGUGAGGAGCUAAACACCUUCAUGCCUGCAUAUUCGUGCUCUUGGGUGUACUUGCUCGUGUGGUAGGUUAACAUCAAUUUCGGACGUCAUAAAAUGGCUGGAGGAAUGUAGCUUCGAUCUCGUAUUGAAGUGUUAUAGCCUUCGGUAGAUGUGGUGAUCGGGAUUGAGGAUUGCAACGGAUACCCUUCGGGGCUACCUGUCUGAUCUCUGAUUGUUGCUCUGGUGCCGAAAGCGUGCUUACGGUUAUCAAAGUCGAUGGUCAAUAUGUUAGAACGGGUUAAAUUCGUUAAAGAUGUUGACGUA
rnacentral:rRNA from 1 species